AAGACUAUAGACCUGCGGAGUACCUGCGGAGGGAUCAUUACCGAGUGCGGGUCCUCUGGGCCCAACCUCCCACCCGUGUCUACCGUACCGUGUUGCUUCGGCGGGCAUCUGUCCGCCGGAGACCCCCCGAGAACGCUGUCUUGAACAAGGUUGCCGUCUGAGUGGAAUUGCAUAAUUGUUAAAACUUUUAACAAUGGAUCUCU
rnacentral:misc_RNA from 1 species